rnacentral:tRNA from 1 species
UGAUAAGAAGAGGACUUAAACCUCUGUUGAUGGGGCUACAACCCACCGCCUAA